AUUGAACGCUGGCGGAAUGCUUUACACAUGCAAGUCGAACGGCAGCACGGACUUCGGUCUGGUGGCGAGUGGCGAACGGGUGAGCAAUGUAUCGGAACGUGCCCAGUCGUGGGGGAUAACGUAGUGAAAAUUACGCUAAUACCGCAUACGAUCUAAGGAUGAAAGCGGGGGAUCGCAAGACCUCGCGCGAUUGGAGCGGCCGAUAUCAGAUUAGGUAGUUGGUGGGGUAAAGGCCCACCAAGCCAACGAUCUGUAGCUGGUCUGAGAGGACGACCAGCCACACUGGAACUGAGACACGGUCCAGACUCCUACGGGAGGCAGCAGUGGGGAAUUUUGGACAAUGGGCGAAAGCCUGAUCCAGCCAUUCCGCGUGCAGGAUGAAGGCCCUCGGGUUGUAAACUGCCUUUGUACAGAACGAAAAGGUUUCUACUAAUACUAGGAGCUCAUGACGGUACUGUAAGAAUAAGCACCGGCUAACUACGUGCCAGCCGCCGCAGUAA
rnacentral:rRNA from 1 species